rnacentral:lncRNA from 1 species
CUUUGACAUAGCAUUGGCCAACCUGCCUUUAGCAAGCUGACCGCAGGCUAAUAUUAAUUUUGGGUGCAAUUGCUAACCUUUCCUUACCAUUGCGUUGUGCUGAUAGCUGGAUUUAGCAGUUUUUAGAUGGUCUAAGAUGUUUUUUCUUGGUAAAGGAGGAUAUAAAAUGAGCUAUUUAGCAUCAACGCUUGUUUUCAUUUGAUUUUGAUGAAUGAUCUAGUCAAUGGUUGGUAAAGGGUUUUUGUAUUCAGUCAUUCUGAUUGUCCUGUAUUGGUCCAACAUGACAGUAAGCAUGGUUGGGAUGGUUAUUAUAAGUUCGGUAAGGUUUUGCUGGUCUAGAGCUGGCUCCGUCAUCCAGCUCGACCAGCUAAAUGUUUUUCCAGACUGUUUUUUCCAGCAGGAAUAUCAUUGGCCACCCUUAUUUUGGCACAUUAUUGUGGAAUGUUUCUUACACUGUCGUUGUCUAAUCAUCCGUUAGCGUACCGCUGACUAACCUUAUGUCUGUUCUGUGUCUUUUCUACAGAGCAAGUGCCCAAUCAGCAGCAGGGUCAGCCCCCGCUGCCCCCAGCCCCGCCUCCCCAUAAGCAGCAGCCGUUGGUGACGGCGCUGAACCACAGCUCAACGAGCCGGCGGAACGCCAGCCCGGCCCCCCCGGCCCCUCCGCCCGCAGACCUGCCCACCACGCCCGAGUCCGUCCCGCUGCAGGACAGCUGGGUCCUGGGCAGCAAUGUGCCGCUGGAAAGCCGGCACUUCCUCUUUAAGACAGGUACAGGAACGACCCCUCUGUUUAGCACGGCGACUCCGGGCUACACCAUGGCGACGGGGGCGGUGUACUCGCCCCCCACACGGCCACUGCCCCGCAACACACUGUCCCGCAGCGCCUUCAAGUUCAAGAAGUCGUCGAAGUACUGCUCAUGGAGGUGCACAGCCCUCAGCGCCGUCGCCGUGUCCGUCCUGCUGUCCAUCAUCCUCUGCUACUGCGUCGGUAAGUCCCACCCUCAUCUAUUACCUUAAUAACUUACUAAUAAUUGAACUUAAAUAGCACCUUU